CUGCUUUCUGUCUCAGCGCAUCUGCCUACUCUGAGUCCCUCAUAUAAGUGGAAUCGUGCGGCAUUUGUCUUUCUGCGUCAGACUCAUUUCACUCACCAUGUGUUCAAGGUCCAUCGAUGUUGUAGCACAUAUCAAAAUUCUGUUCCUUUUGGCAGCUGUAUAAUAUUCCUUUGUGUUCUGUGUAUACCACUGGCUGGUUUUGGAAAGGGCCCAGGCAGCCCUGUUUGGCUGCACUGGUCACACUCAGACUGGUCACUGCUGGGACCUGGGUGCCACCACCGUCGUUGGUCACAGGCCAGGCCUCUCUUCUGCCUUUACCCUGAGGAUGUGGCAGACUUCUUCUCCUGCUUCCUUUUUGAUUCUGGUUCACCAGCCACAGGGUGCUCUGAGGGGACCGUAGGGAGAACAUGGAAGAAACCAAGAGCAAGUUAUUUCCUGGAGAGUGGAAAAGUGACCGCUCGGUUAAUCUGAGGGUCUGGCCAGUGCCCCUGCAGGGUGAGAACUGCCGGCCUCGCUGGCUGGUGAGUGCUGGGUCGGUCAGUGAGAUUCCGUGCCGCUCCACUGAGCUGCUCUAGGACCCCUCUCGGCUCACUCUAGACUGGGAUGCGUCGCCUUGGGUGAAAAUCCGGUUUGAGUCGUGGCAGCCAUGUUGCCAUUAUCUGAUUAUGAAGUCACUGACCAUUUGACCUCAGAAGGACCCACAGCUCCUUCUCUUUACAGGUGAGGAAACUGAGGCCUGGGGGGAGCAGUGGGAGGUGUCAAGGCCCCUCAGCUGGCAGUUAUGUGUCACAGCUGUGACCCGGUCACGGUCCCCCUGACUCCUCUGUUGUGCCCGCUUCGUGGGACGGUCGUUACUAGAUGCUGAGGAUGUCACAGUAAAUAUGACAAAGGUGGACCUCCCCGUGGACAGGAGAGUCGGGGGCAGCAAAGACUGUCAGCCAGGAUGAGGUUCAUCUCCAGUGCCGGCAACCCGACCACAGACGCUCGGACACACUCGGGGCCCGUCCCCUCCACUGUGCUACCUGGCCCACCCACUGCAGCUCAGGCCAUGGGGAAGAGCGAUGGAGCCCGCAGAUGUUACGUCAAGUCAUCCUCCCGGCAACCGUGCGAGGGCCUCCAGGUUGGUUACAGGCGAGAAGUCUGAGGCCCCCAGGGGACAGCCCCUGGCCAUUGACUAAGCAAGGCUGGUGUAAGAGCCUGGCCGUUUCUGCCCAGUACGGAACGACUCUUAACUGGCUGCCUUCGCUCUGGAUCUCCCUGCUGGGCUGGAGAGACUGUGGUGGACGCUGGGGUCUGAGGGCCUGCCCUGUCCCACCGGCCUCCUUCUUGCUUUCGGCUUUUUGCACUCUUCGCUCCAUCUUGGCAUCUGCUUCCCAGAGAACCCAAACUGCAACGGACGUUUAUUGUUAACUUUACACUUAAGAACUUACAUAUUUUUUCUUGUUUUGCUCUAU
rnacentral:lncRNA from 1 species